rnacentral:lncRNA from 12 species
AUGAAGGACAGAUUGAAGAGAGGAUCUGAAAACCAGAACAAGAUUUGAAGCAAUGUCAAGAUGCUGGAUUGUGUUCUUAGGAACUGAGUGACUUACAUCCAAAACACUGAAAACUAAUGAAAGACCUUGCAUAAUACAAGAUCAAUCCAUGCAGCAGAGUCAAUUAUGGAGCAGCUUAUGUGAAGUGGACAUUACUACUAGCACUACCCCUACCUGGGUCUCCUCACUUUUGUGGGAAGUGAGAAGGUUAUAUUUUCACUUCUUAGCCUGCUGCAGUGGUCAAGACCAAGUGAAGUAUAUCACUCUUGAGUCAGGACAUUUUACCCCAGGGAGCCUGUUGUGAUGGAAUGACACAUUUGAAAUGCAAGGUUCACUACAUUCAAACGUGCCAUGAGAGGGUUCCCCUGGAGAUGAACAAAGGAGAGGUACAGAAGGAAGCUUAUAGGAGGAGUGACAGCCAUGACCAUGAUCAUAGACUAUGAGUACUUAUUUAAGGGGUACUGAAGAGCCAAACAUAUGGAAAUAAGGUCAGGAAGAGACCUGUACCUCAUGAAUGGCAAGAUCACAGGCACACACAAUGAAGGGACUCUGGGAAUCAGAAUGAAACCUGGAAGACUUGGGUCUUCCCAUUUGAACUUGGGUUUUGAAACUUUGAACUCCAGUUGACAAUGUUGUUGCAUAGCCUCUACAAUUAGGAAAACUACAAUGAGAAAGGAAUCACAAGAUCCUGACGGAUAUUUUUAGUACGUUUCUUUGUUUUCAUCAGUGUUUAAAAUUUUUAUUUAUAACUAAUGUGUUUUUAUGUGAGGAAAGUUAAUCUACCUCCAACUGCAAAUAGUACCCCCUGCAUUUCCCGCAUAUUUUCAAGUAAAAUAGCAUGACAUGUGUCACUGAAGCAGCAUGAGAACAAGCAUGUGACUAUAAAGAAAUAAAUUUCAUUUUAAUUAAAAAAUGAUCCA